rnacentral:misc_RNA from 1 species
GCGCAACAACUUCCACCUGGCUUACCUUUUCAGUCUUGUGCCAUUGCUUGUAUCGCAUUGAAUGCAUGGUGGGUUUCUUGUGUUGCAUGCCUAAUUGAUGGUAUCAUUUGAAGAACUGAUGUCCCUUUUCAUCUUGUGUCGCACAUGCGAUGUGAGAUGAACCUUGAAGUAGCCUUUGUGAUYCACUCUUUCGAUGUACACGCAUUGAUUUUGUGGCCCACUGUGUGUUGCUUGGUCUCAUGGAUAUGGAACCUGGUGUGGGCAUGGGAUCUUUACUAGUUCCUUGUUUGCCCUGGUUUAGCUUUUCUAAUACACGAUUGUUUAUCACAUUUUAAUGUGGUAGGCUAUAUCGGAUAUGAAUGCUACCUGGUUGAUCCUGCC